CUUAAAUGUUUCAGUGACUCAUAUGCAAGUCUUGAAUUAAGAGAAUAAAGACCUGGGUGAGUCUCUUUAGGUGGGUGGUCACAGCAAAUUUUUCAGGUGAAGUGAAACAAGAAUUUUGUGUCCAUCCCCCUGCCCUGCCCCUCCAGGAACCCUACAUGCUUAGCUGGGACUAUCUCUGCCAAUUCCAGGUGCUACACCAAUGAUGCCCUUGGAACGUGUCCUGACUCUUCGUCCUCUUCUUAUCUGUCCCACACUGGAACUCUUCUGUUCUCCCCACGACCUCCAUUUUAACAAAGAGAAGAGAAGGAAGAGGCGAGAAGGAGUAGAAAAAGAAGCGUUGAAGGUGUUGUUGUGAAGAUUAAAUGAAUUAACAAGUCAAGUGCACAGAGGAGCACAGACAAUAAAACACACUCAGCAAGUGUCAGGGAAUAAGAACAUGAUGAACCCAUACUCAACAAAUUCCAUGGAGAGGAAGAAG